UCUGCCUUGUUACACAAGUGAGAAACUUAAAGUAAAAAACUAACCUAAGUUGAGAGACUCCGUUUAUAUAUACUGAAUACAGGGCUAAGUAAAAUUAUCCGACUUACUAAUUGGUUAAAAUAAAAAAAUAAAAAAUUGUUAUUUGAUAGCUGACUUUUCACACCGGCCUUAUGCACCAUAUAUAUAUAUAUAUACAAUAUGCCAAUACAAGAAUAAUAUAAUGUAUUUUAGGGUCGAUUAAAAUUUGGAACUUUUUUAUUAAUACAUUUAUAGAAAAGUUUUAGUGUAUUUAUACAGUAUCUAAAAGAUUCAUUCAUAUAUAUAUAACUUCAAGUUUUUUGUGCAAACAUACGGUUUGCAACCAGUCUCUCUACGAUUCAGAAAAAAAAAAACAAAAAAAACUUGUCUCUCUACGACUUUGGAUCUAUCUUCUGUUCCAGCAAUAGCCUUUACCAAAGGAAAUUAUAAUCGACCACAUAUAGCUCUGACGAUAUCCAUUGCUGGUUGCUGGGUUCCCAUCAUGUCAUCGAUGAAAUCUGGUAGCAUUAUAGUUAUAUUCCAACACAGUGGCCAAUAGGAUCUAAACAGAACUACAUUGACUUUGAAUUGAAAUACCAAUGAAAUCAAUGAUAAGACGACGGUCAACGAAGCUCACGAAAGGGGUGUGUAAAUAGGUAUCCUCAUGGGAAAAGGGGCUUGUACGAAUGCAGUUGAGAGUCCCCAAAGUUGAAUAUGGUUGGAAAAUGGCACCACAUAUCAUCAGUUUUUGCCCUAGCACUUUAAGUCAAAGCCACCCAUAUAGCAGCACUAGGAUAAAUUUAAUAAGAACACUUACUAUUGAAGAGGAUUGAGAUUCCAUUUGUAUGUUAAAAGAUUGUAGUACUAUAGAAAAGAAAGCUUAUAUUAUGUUACUACUCACUACAUUGGAAAUUAAAAAAAAAAAAAACAAAUCCCUACUAGAUAUGAUAUUAAUUUUGUUUUUCAU